rnacentral:tRNA from 1 species
AGCUUUAGUAAUUUAAUUACUCCUUUAGAAUUGCAGUCUAAUAUCAUUAUUGACUAUAAAGCC